rnacentral:misc_RNA from 1 species
GAUGAAGAACGCAGUGAAAUGCGAUAAGUAAUGUGAAUUGCAGAAUCCAGUGAAUCAUCGAAUCUUUGAACGCACCUUGCGCCCCUUGGUAUUCCGAGGGGCAUGCCUGUUUGAGUGUCAUUAAAUUCUCAACUUGGCAGGAUUUUCUUUGUUGAGAUCUUGUUCAAGCUUGGAUUUGGAGUGUGCCGGGAAUAUCCCCUCUUUGUAGGGGAGAGGUCGGCUCCUCUGAAAUGUAUUAGCAGCUGCGUCGCAGAACAGCUUCUUGGUGUGAUAACUAUCAACGCCAAUAUAAGCUGCGAAGCUCAAUCUCCUGCUUCUAACUGUCUGGUUCUUUGCAGACAAAAACUUAACUUGACCAAUUUGGCCUCAAAUCAGGUAGGACUACCCGCUGAACUUAAGCAUAUCAAUAAGCGGAGGA